ACCUUCGGGCCUCUUGCCAUCAGAUGUGCCCAGAUGGGAUUAGCUUGUUGGUGAGGUAACGGCUCACCAAGGCGACGAUCCCUAGCUGGUCUGAGAGGAUGACCAGCCACACUGGAACUGAGACACGGUCCAGACUCCUACGGGAGGCAGCAGUGGGGAAUAUUGCACAAUGGGCGCAAGCCUGAUGCAGCCAUGCCGCGUGUAUGAAGAAGGCCUUCGGGUUGUAAAGUACUUUCAGCGGGGAGGAAGGUGUUGUGGUUAAUAACCGCAGCAAUUGACGUUACCCGCAGAAGAAGCACCGGCUAACUCCGUGCCAGCAGCCGCGGUAAUACGGAGGGUGCAAGCGUUAAUCGGAAUUACUGGGCGUAAAGCGCACGCAGGCGGUCUGUCAAGUCGGAUGUGAAAUCCCCGGGCUCAACCUGGGAACUGCAUUCGAAACUGGCAGGCUUGAGUCUUGUAGAGGGGGGUAG
rnacentral:rRNA from 1 species